UACAUAGGUCUCACGCGUUGUUCGGAUUCAUUGGGCGUAAAGCGUCCGCAGGCGGCGUGUUAAGUGAGAUGUUAAAUCGUGUGGCUCAACCAUAUCGGUGUAUCUCAUACUGGCAUGCUAGAGGAAAUCAGAGGCAAGUGGAAUUUGUAGUGUAGCAGUGAAAUGCGUAGAUAUUACAAGGAACACCAAUGGCGAAGGCAGCGUGCUGGGAGUUUUCUGACGGUCAUGGACGAAAGCGUGGGGAGCGAACAGG
rnacentral:rRNA from 1 species